rnacentral:tRNA from 1 species
GGCCCGUUCGUCUAGGGGUUAGGACGCCGCCCUCUCAAGGCGGUAACACGAGUUCGAUUCUCGUACGGGCUA